ACAGUAAUGAAUUACCACUAUGACAAUGUGUUCCGCAAUAUCCGCAUUUCUGUGACGAAGUGUCUCGUUUGGAGUCGACAUCAUUUUUGGGCUUGGUAAACGAGUCUCGCUUUCCCUUUCGGUAUUGACUGUGUAUGACACUAGCCUGAUGACUGUCAAGUAAACGCGUGGCAGAUCGCUUACCAGCUUCUUUUGUUUCGACGAAUUUCAUAACCUGCUCCAGGGGCAUCUCCUGGUUGGUGUGGCCGAGGAGUUCCAGCUGGAUAUCUGGAUCUGCAAUGCCUCGACUAAGUACGUCUCGCAGAAUAUGCUCUGUAUAGUCAACGUCAUAGUUACACUCAGGGCACGAUACGGUGUAUUUGCAAACGCCAGCCUGUCCUUUUAAUCUCGCACCAAAGGAUCGUAUCGAUUCUUCAGGUUCUUGACACAUGUUGUUGAGGGCUACGCGAGCGACCAUUACGUUUUCUUCUCGAACGGCGAGGGAUUUCAUUGACGAGAGGAUAACAUCUUCACUUUUAUCUGCCAGCAUACCAGCAGUUGAUCGUGUCAAAUCCCUGCGUAACUGUUCAUCACAGCAUUCUAAUAACUGCAAGACAGCGUCCCUGCCUGUGAUCUUUGUAGCUGUUUUGUAUUCCCUCCAUCGGGUAAGAAAGUAUGUCCAGUCUUCUGAUGAUCCGGCUAAUGUGAUGGUUGGGCGCUUCACGCGCUCGAUUUUAGCGGAGGAUGAGGCGGAGAAACUACCAUUAGAGUGGGUGGUGGCGUGGGUAGUUGCAAAGCAGCAACAAUGACGGGGUCCAGAUCUGGUGUAGCGUAUGAGCAGUCGGGGACUGGGCAAUCAACAGACGGCAUAUUGUAUGAAGCUCUACUCAGUAAGAUUAAACAAAUUGAUCAACAUAGAUAGGAAUCAAACCAUUUGCGUCAUAAUUAUGCAAUGUUGAUCUGAAACAUAAAUAAUAUAUACAAUGUUAUUGUCCAUGGUUAUUGUCUAUUAUUCCCUAACAUAAACUAAAAUAUCGAUUUAACAGUUCAACUUUCUCGGAUUAUUGCUAACUCAUUUGUAAUCCGCACGUCGUCGUCGCACAUACUACGGACGGAAUAGUUUCUGGAUAUCGUGUACGAGCCGAUGGAACCAUUACGGGUUCGAAGAUUGUUGAAGGUGAACGCGUUUAGCCAAGCCAACAUGAUCACGAUGUCUAUGAAAAAGAAAUUGUAAUAUCGAUCAGCUGUGAUCAACGUAGCCAGCAUUUUUUCAACAAGUGCAAGAGAGUAAUUUGAAAACCGUACAUGCUGAAACAUUCAAAUAUUAUCAUUUAACUACUUUGUUAUUUAUUUUGAUUGCUUUUAAACAUCAAUAUAUUUUAACUUUUUAUUAAACUUGUUUGGAAGUUAUUUUUUGUGCAAUUGAUUUUCAUUAAAUUAGCAUGAAAGGUCUUGCAUUGAGGAGUUUACAAAAUUUUGUAGAUUGUUUUUUUUAAACUGUUUCAGUGUUUUUUAGAAUGCUAUAUAGAUAUAAAUAUAAAUGUAUUUUUUUUUAUUAAUUGUAUGUAAUUUAGCUAUGGUUAAAAUACAUGUUAUUUACAGUA